rnacentral:rRNA from 1 species
UGGGGAAUAUUGCACAAUGGGGGAAACCCUGAUGCAGCGACGCCGCGUGAGCGAAGAAGUAUUUCGGUAUGUAAAGCUCUAUCAGCAGGGAAGAAAAUGACGGUACCUGACUAAGAAGCCCCGGCUAACUACGUGCCAGCAGCCGCGGUAAUACGUAGGGGGCAAGCGUUAUCCGGAUUUACUGGGUGUAAAGGGAGCGCAGGCGGUUCUGCAAGUCUGAUGUGAAAGCCCGGGGCUCAACCCCGGGACUGCAUUGGAAACUGUGGGACUUGAGUGUCGGAGGGGCAAGUGGAAUUCCUAGUGUAGCGGUGAAAUGCGUAGAUAUUAGGAGGAACACCAGUGGCGAAGGCGGCUUGCUGGACGACAACUGACGCUGAGGCUCGAAAGCGUGGGGAGCAAACAGG